rnacentral:tRNA from 1 species
AGCGGUAUAGUGAACAGGUUAUCACACUGAGCUUUGACCUCAGAGAAGAUGGUUCGAUACCAUCUACCGCUG